rnacentral:lncRNA from 1 species
AUGUUAUUUCAGUUUUGUUUAAAAAUCAGGUUUCGAUGUUACUGGCGCCGCUAAAUACGACCUUGAUUUCAUCUCUCGCCACCGUAUUUGUCUAUAAAACUCCGUCGCCAAAGCAUGGCAGUGGCUCCCCUUUCUUCUCUCGUUGCUAGAAUCGUUAAACCACCACUGAACCGAGAAACUAUUUUUGUCAUCGGAAACGCGUCUGAGAUCAGGGCGCAUGUUUUGGAAGGGAAUAAAAGUGAUAUUUACGAAAUUUGAAGGGCUACUUUUUUCCUACCGAUCCCAGUCCUCCAUGGUGGUUGUCGUCUUGGUUGUAUGAUCGGAGGUCUGACUCUAGAGAGAGAAAAGAGACAACUGUAUGUUGUGAAGACGAUCAAUUCAAGACAGUGAAAACAGAUUACUAAACACUCAUUUGCCAGCAGGGUAUUUUUGUAAUUAU